UACGAAGGGGGCUAGCGUUGUUCGGAAUUACUGGGCGUAAAGCGCACGUAGGCGGAUACUUAAGUCAGGGGUGAAAUCCCGGGGCUCAACCCCGGAACUGCCUUUGAUACUGGGUAUCUCGAGUCCGGAAGAGGUGAGUGGAAUUCCGAGUGUAGAGGUGAAAUUCGUAGAUAUCGGGAGGAACACCAGUGGCGAAGGCGGCUUCCUGGCCUGUUCUUGACGCUGAGGCGCGAAAGCUAGGGGAGCAAACGGG
rnacentral:rRNA from 1 species